GGAGAAACUAGCAGCAACUGUGAUGACUUCAGGGAGUAUUUGGCUUGCUCCGAUCAGCAGCAAAGAGGUUGCUACCUCUUUGAUUUCACCGAAAAGAAAAGUACAUUUUGUGGGGUGAUUUUUGUUGUUUCAAUCGACAGGUAAUGAGUAAGGAAAAGAACCAAAAGAAGAGGCAGAUGCCUCUUGUUGUUUCUUGGCAGCCACGAUCAAAGAAGAAAGAAAGAAGAAGAAGAAUAAGAGUGUUUGAAAGGCAUUGAGUGUGAUUUUGUAUAACAGAGUUGUGUGUAGUUUUGGUUAAGAUGAAGUGUAUAAGAAACAUAAUUGUCAAUUCCAUUUAUUGUUGUACUUUGAGGUAAACUUAGAAGCAAAGUAUUUCACAUGUAUUUAUGUAUGUAAAAAAAAUGUAUUUUUGUAUA